rnacentral:rRNA from 1 species
CUUCGGGAACCGUGAGACAGGUGCUGCAUGGCUGUCGUCAGCUCGUGUUGUGAAAUGUUGGGUUAAGUCCCGCAACGAGCGCAACCCUUAUCCUUUGUUGCCAGCGGUCCGGCCGGGAACUCAAAGGAGACUGCCAGUGAUAAACUGGAGGAAGGUGGGGAUGACGUCAAGUCAUCAUGGCCCUUACGACCAGGGCUACACACGUGCUACAAUGGCGCAUACAAAGAGAAGCGAUCUCGCGAGAGCAAGCGGACCUCAUAAAGUGCGUCGUAGUCCGGAUUGGAGUCUGCAACUCGACUCCAUGAAGUCGGAAUCGCUAGUAAUCGUGGAUCAGAAUGCCACGGUGAAUACGUUCCCGGGCCUUGUACACACCGCCCGUCACACCAUGGGAGUGGGUUGCAAAAGAAGUAGGUAGCUUAACCUUCGGGAGGGCGCUUACCACUUUGUGAUUCAUGACUGGGGUGAAGUCGUAACAAGGUAACCAAUCACU